rnacentral:rRNA from 1 species
UGCAGUCGAACGCCCCGCAGGGGAGUGGCAGACGGGUGAGUAACGCGUGGGAACAUACCCUUUCCUGCGGAAUAGCUCCGGGAAACUGGAAUUAAUACCGCAUACGCCCUACGGGGGAAAGAUUUAUCGGGGAAGGAUUGGCCCGCGUUGGAUUAGCUAGUUGGUGGGGUAAAGGCCUACCAAGGCGACGAUCCAUAGCUGGUCUGAGAGGAUGAUCAGCCACAUUGGGACUGAGACACGGCCCAAACUCCUACGGGAGGCAGCAGUGGGGAAUAUUGGACAAUGGGCGCAAGCCUGAUCCAGCCAUGCCGCGUGAGUGAUGAAGGCCUUAGGGUUGUAAAGCUCUUUCACCGGAGAAGAUAAUGACGGUAUCCGGAGAAGAAGCCCCGGCUAACUUCGUGCCAGCAGCCGCGGUAAUACGAAGGGGGCUAGCGUUGUUCGGAAUUACUGGGCGUAAAGCGCACGUAGGCGGAUAUUUAAGUCAGGGGUGAAAUCCCAGAGCUCAACUCUGGAACUGCCUUUGAUACUGGGUAUCUUGAGUAUGGAAGAGGUAAGUGGAAUUCCGAGUGUAGAGGUGAAAUUCGUAGAUAUUCGGAGGAACACUAGUGGCGGAGGCGGCUUACUGGU